CUCUCCAACAGGGUCAAUCAUCUCCAAUUCAUAGAAUUGAAGCAAUCAGGACAAUUGACGUCGGCAUUACAGAAAAACGCUUCGUUGGGAUCUACUCUCAGCUUCAAGGGACAUGGCGAAUGUAACUAAGAGAGAAUUCGGCACACUUUUGGCGUUAUUUCUUGUAUUAGCUGAAGUCUUCGGUGAAGGGAAGGACCCCUCGGAUACCAGUGUCGUAGACGCUUUCAAGAUCUUUCGUACUUUGCCGCACGGCACAACCAUAUUUGAUAUGGAUGGUGAUGGGGACCUCGAUUGUGUUACCGCUGUUCGUACCGAAUUCAGCGAAGAUCCCCUGGAAACAACAUAUGUUCUACUCUUCAAAGGCCUCGGCGGGAA